rnacentral:rRNA from 1 species
CAGCGACUUAUAUUCUGUAGCAAGGUUAACCGUAUAGGGGAGCCGAAGGGAAACCGAGUCUUAACUGGGCGUUAAGUUGCAGGGUAUAGACCCGAAACCCGGUGAUCUAGCCAUGGGCAGGUUGAAGGUUGGGUAACACUAACUGGAGGACCGAACCGACUAAUGUUGAAAAAUUAGCGGAUGACUUGUGGCUGGGGGUGAAAGGCCAAUCAAACCGGGAGAUAGCUGGUUCUCCCCGAAAGCUAUUUAGGUAGCGCCUCGUGAACUCAUCUUCGGGGGUAGAGCACUGUUUCGGCUAGGGGGUCAUCCCGACUUACCAACCCGAUGCAAACUGCGAAUACCGAAGAAUGUUAUCACGGGAGACACACGGCGGGUGCUAACGUCCGUCGUGAAGAGGGAAACAACCCAGACCGCCAGCUAAGGUCCCAAAGUCACAGUUAAGUGGGAAACGAUGUGGGAAGGCUCAGACAGCCAGGAUGUUGGCUUAGAAGCAGCCAUCAUUUAAAGAAAGCGUAAUAGCUCACUGGUCGAGUCGGCCUGCGCGGAAGAUGUAACGGGGCUAAACUGUGCACCGAAGCUGCGGCAGCGACGCUUAUGCGUUGUUGGGUAGGGGAGCGUUCUGUAAGCCUGCGAAGGUGUCCUGUGAGGGAUGCUGGAGGUAUCAGAAGUGCGAAUGCUGACAUAAGUAACGAUAAUGCGGGUGAAAAGCCCGCUCGCCGGAAGACCAAGGGUUCCUGUCCAACGUUAAUCGGGGCAGGGUGAGUCGACCCCUAAGGCGAGGCCGAAAGGCGUAGUCGAUGGGAAACGGGUUAAUAUUCCCGUACUUGGUGUUACUGCGAAGGGGGGACGGAGAAGGCUAUGUUGGCCGGGCGACGGUUGUCCCGGUUUAAGCGUGUAGGCUGGUUUUCCAGGCAAAUCCGGAAAAUCAAGGCUGAGGCGUGAUGACGAGGCACUACGGUGCUGAAGCAACAAAUGCCCUGCUUCCAGGAAAAGC